UACGUAGGGGGCAAGCGUUGUCCGGAAUCAUUGGGCGUAAAGAGCGUGUAGGCGGCCCGGUAAGUCCGCUGUGAAAGUCCAGGGCUCAACCCUGGGAUGCGGGUGGAUACUGUCGGGCUCGAGUCCGGAAGAGGCGAGUGGAAUUCCCGGUGUAGGCGGUGAAAUGCGCAGAUAUCGGGAAGGAACACCAAUGGCGAAGGCAGCUCGCUGGGACGUGACUGACGCUGAGAGGCGAAACGUGGGGAGCAAA
rnacentral:rRNA from 1 species